UACGAGGGGAGCAAGCGUUGUUCGGAUUUACUGGGCGUAAAGGGCGCGUAGGCGGUCGUGACAAGUCACUUGUGAAAUCUCCGGGCUUAACUCGGAACGGUCAAGUGAUACUGUCGGACUAGAGUACAGAAGGGGCAACUGGAAUUCCCGGUGUAGCGGUGAAAUGCGUAGAUAUCGAGAGGAACACCUGCGGCGAAGGCGGGUUGCUGGGCUGAUACUGACGCUGAUGCGCGAAAGCCAGGGGAGCGAACGGG
rnacentral:rRNA from 1 species